GUCGAGAAUAAUUCACAAUGGACGAAAGUCUGAUGGUGCAACGCCGCGUGGAGGAUGAAGGUCUUCGGAUUGUAAACUCCUGUCAUCGGGGAGUAAGACCUGGCGGUAAAUAGCCGACAGGGUUGAUAGUACCCGAAGAGGAAGGGACGGCUAACUUCGUGCCAGCAGCCGCGGUAAUACGAAGGUCCCAAGCGUUGUUCGGAAUCACUGGGCGUAAAGGGAGCGUAGGCGGCGCGGUAAGUCAGGUGUGAAAUCCCGGGGCUCAACCCCGGAACUGCACCCGAUACUGCCGUGCUAGAGGGUUGGAGAGGUGACUGGAAUUCUCGGUGUAGCAGUGAAAUGCGUGGAUAUCGAGAGGAACACUCGUGGCGAAGGCGAGUCACUGGACAACAUCUGACGCUGAGGCUCGAAGGCCAGGGGAGCAAAAGGGAUUAGAUACCCUUGUAGUCC
rnacentral:rRNA from 1 species